rnacentral:rRNA from 1 species
UACGAAGGGGGCGAGCGUUGUUCGGAAUUACUGGGCGUAAAGCGUGCGCAGGCGGUCUGUUAAGACCGAUGUGAAAUCCCCGGGCUUAACCUGGGAACUGCAUUGGUGACUGGCAGGCUUGAGUGUGGCAGAGGGAGGUAGAAUUCCACGUGUAGCAGUGAAAUGCGUAGAGAUGUGGAGGAAUACCGAUGGCGAAGGCAGCCUCCUGGGCCAACACUGACGCUCAUGCACGAAAGCGUGGGGAGCAAACAGG